rnacentral:rRNA from 1 species
AUUGGGCGUAAAGCGUCCGCAGGUGGCCCUGAAAGUCAGUUAUUAAAUACCGAAGCUCAACUCCGGUGCCGUAAUUGAAACUUCUGGGCUAGAGGAUGGGAGAGGCGAGUGGAACUCAGCAAGUAGGGGUAAAAUCCGUAGAUAUGCUGAAGAACACCAAAAGCGAAGGCAACUCGCUGGACCAUUCCUGACACUCAUGGACGAAAGCGUGGGGAGCGAA